AUUGAACGCUGGCGGCAGGCCUAACACAUGCAAGUCGAAUGGUAACAGGAAACAGCUUGCUGUUUCGCUGACGAGUGGCGGACGGGUGAGUAAUGUCUGGGAAACUGCCUGAUGGAGGGGGAUAACUACUGGAAACGGUAGCUAAUACCGCAUAACGUCGCAAGACCAAAGAGGGGGACCUUCGGGCCUCUUGCCAUCAGAUGUGCCCAGGUGGGAUUAGCUAGUAGGUGGGGUAACGGCUCACCUAGGCGACGAUCCCUAGCUGGUCUGAGAGGAUGACCAGCCACACUGGAACUGAGACACGGUCCAGACUCCUACGGGAGGCAGCAGUGGGGAAUAUUGCACAAUGGGCGCAAGCCUGAUGCAGCCAUGCCGCGUGUAUGAAGAAGGCCUUCGGGUUGUAAAGUACUUUCAGCGGGGAGGAAGGGAGUAAAGUUAAUACCUUUGCUCAUUGACGUUACCCGCAGAAGAAGCACCGGCUAACUCCGUG
rnacentral:rRNA from 1 species